rnacentral:lncRNA from 1 species
AUAAUCAGCAAUUUGGUAGGAUCUUUAUGAAAUGAAUCCAGUUUCCAAUCUUAUCCUUCAAACCUUUUAUUCUGUUUUUUGAACAUCCUUUAUACUCAGCCUAACAUGCUCAGACUUAUCUCCAGGACUGCAACACAGGUGUUUGUAUUUAUUAGAAAGAGUUGUGGUUGAUGGCCUGCUUGAACUAUGUGGGGUCUUGUAUCAUUUGGACUUAGCUCACGAUUUGCCAGCAACAUCAUAAGAUUUCUUCCACGACGCAAAACCGCUCAGGAACAACAACAGUUACGACAGCAGUGGAACCAACAUUUUCUGGUGCAACAGGUUCCCAACUUCAUUCUUAAACCUCAAAUAAUUUAGUGAAGAUUUAUCUCUGUCAGCGCUUCCUCCCGCAUGACGCCGUAUUGAAACCGAUCAAGCUUAUGAUGGACAAUACUCGUGGCUGUUAUUCCACUUCUCGAAUCCUUGUUGAAAUUGAGAGAGAGAUUCCGACGAAGGCUUAUAGUGGAGUGCAUAAUGGAUAGCUUUGUAAUGGAAGAAACCAAGAAAAAUCAACAACAAACAUGAAGAUUGGGUGAUGUAUUGAAGAAAAAGGCCAGGCCAAGUUGGAUGGGCAAGAGCAAGUGAGGGUUGACUUUGGUCAGAGUUGACCAAAAAGUCAACCGUUGACCAAAGUCAACAAUUGGUCAAAAAUGCAUUUUUUUUUGUAUUUUCUUUAUGAUUUCUUUGUAAAUGGAUAUUCUAUUAUCGGUUAGGAUGAAAAUUAAGGUUUGAGGAAUUUGGGUUGACUUUGGUCAAAGUUGACCAAAAAGUCAACUGUUGACCAAAGUCAACAAUUGGUCAAAAUGGUCAAGACUUGUAUUUUCUUGUGUAGAAUCAAAUGUAAUGGUUUAGAAUGAUGUGAAAUGAAUUGAAAUGGUUUGAAAUUUGAUUUGAGAUUUGGUUUUACCAUUGGUUUAUU